rnacentral:rRNA from 1 species
GACGAACGCUGGCGGCGUGCUUAACACAUGCAAGUCGAACGGAAAGACCCUGCUUUUGUGGGGUGCUCGAGUGGCGAACGGGUGAGUAACACGUGAGUAACCUGCCCUUGACUUUGGGAUAACUUCAGGAAACUGGGGCUAAUACCGGAUAGGAGCUCCUGCUGCAUGGUGGGGGUUGGAAAGUUUCGGCGGUUGGGGAUGGACUCGCGGCUUAUCAGCUUGUUGGUGGGGUAGUGGCUUACCAAGGCUUUGACGGGUAGCCGGCCUGAGAGGGUGACCGACCACAUUGGGACUGAGAUACGGCCCAGACUCCUACGGGAGGCAGCAGUGGGGAAUAUUGCACAAUGGGCGGAAGCCUGAUGCAGCAACGCCGCGUGCGGGAUGACGGCCUUCGGGUUGUAAACCGCUUUCGCCUGUGACGAAGCGUGAGUGACGGUAAUGGGUAAAGAAGCACCGGCUAACUACGUG